rnacentral:rRNA from 1 species
UACGUAGGGCGCGAGCGUUGUCCGGAAUUACUGGGCGUAAAGCGCGCGCAGGCGGUUUCGUAAGUCUGUCGUGAAAUCCCCGGGCUUAACCUGGGAAUGGCGAUGGAGACUGCGAGGCUAGAGUUUGGCAGAGGGGGGUAGAAUUCCACGUGUAGCAGUGAAAUGCGUAGAGAUGUGGAGGAACACCGAUGGCGAAGGCAGCCCCCUGGGUCAAAACUGACGCUCAUGCACGAAAGCGUGGGGAGCAAACAGG